UACGGGGGGGGCAAGCGUUGUUCGGAAUUACUGGGCGUAAAGGGCUCGUAGGUGGCCAACUAAGUCAGACGUGAAAUCCCUCGGCUUAACCGGGGAACUGCGUCUGAUACUGGAUGGCUUGAGUUCGGGAGAGGGAUGCGGAAUUCCAGGUGUAGCGGUGAAAUGCGUAGAUAUCUGGAGGAACACCGGUGGCGAAGGCGGCAUCCUGGACCAAUACUGACGCUGAGGAGCGAAAGCCAGGGGAGCAAACGGG
rnacentral:rRNA from 1 species